GUAUAGACUUAUAGGCACAAAGGCCUAAUAAUUACAUUCUAAAAACAUACAUUGGGGUAUUUGAAGAAACAUAGACCUGGAGAUGUAAGAAGAGACAUAAAGUCAAUCCUCAAUCCUAAAUGCUAACUAAAAAAGCUAGCAAUCAGAGAGAUACCCAAGGUCUACAAAAUGUGCACAGGUGAAAAAAUACAAUGAUAAGUGUGCACAUGCUCCCUAGAGAACCAGCAACAACUCAUCAAAUUUAUUUCAAUAAUGAUCCUUCCGCAGGUUCACCUACGGAAA
rnacentral:misc_RNA from 1 species